rnacentral:rRNA from 1 species
CCUACGGGGGGCUGCAGUGGGGAAUAUUGCACAAUGGGGGAAACCCUGAUGCAGCAACGCCGCGUGGGUGAAGGAGCGUUUCGGCGCGUAAAGCCCUGUCAGCGGGGAAGAAGAAAGACGGUACCCGACCAAGAAGCCCCGGCUAACUACGUGCCAGCAGCCGCGGUAAUACGUAGGGGGCAAGCGUUAUCCGGAUUUACUGGGUGUAAAGGGAGCGCAGGCGGCACGGCAAGCCUGAUGUGAAAGCCCGCGGCCCAACCGCGGGACUGCAUUGGGAACUACCGGGCUGGAGUGCCGGAGAGGUAGGCGGAAUUCCUAGUGUAGCGGUGAAAUGCGUAGAUAUUAGGAGGAACACCAGUGGCGAAGGCGGCCUACUGGACGGUGACUGACGCUGAGGCUCGAAAGCGUGGGGAGCAAACAGGAUUAGAUACCCCUGUAGUC